rnacentral:rRNA from 1 species
CACGUAGGGUGCGAGCGUUGUCCGGAAUUAUUGGGCGUAAAGAGCUCGUAGGCGGUGUGUCGCGUCGGCCGUGAAAACCUGCAGCUUAACUGUGGGCUUGCGGUCGAUACGGGCAUCACUGGAGUUCGGUAGGGGAGACUGGAAUUCCAGGUGUAGCGGUGAAAUGCGUAGAUAUCUGGAGGAACACCGGUGGCGGAAGGCGGCAUCCUGGACCGGUAUUGACGCUGAGGCGCGGAAAGCCAGGGGAGCAAACGGGG